CUGGCUCAGAACGAACGCUGGCGGCGUGCUUAACACAUGCAAGUCGAACGCGAAAGGGACUUCGGUCCUGAGUAAAGUGGCGCACGGGUGAGUAACGCGUAGAUAACCUGUCUUCAUGUCUGGAAUAAUACGCCGAAAGGGGUACUAAUACCGGAUAUUCUUGCUUUUCAUAAGUUAUGCAAGCAAAGGUGGCCUCUGCAUAUGCUACUGCAUGAAGAGGGGUCUGCGUACCAUUAGCUAGUAGGUGGGGUAAUGGCCUACCUAGGCGACGAUGGUUAGCGGGUCUGAGAGGAUGAUCCGCCACACUGGCACUGGAACACGGGCCAGACUCCUACGGGAGGCAGCAGUGAGGAAUAUUGCGCAAUGGGGGAAACCCUGACGCAGCGACGCCGCGUGGGUGAGGAAGGCCUUCGGGUCGUAAAGCUCUGUCAAGAGGAAAGAAGUGUACAAUGGCUAAUACCUGUUGUAUUUGACGGUACCUCUAAAGGAAGCACCGGCUAACUCCGUGCCAGCCGCCGC
rnacentral:rRNA from 1 species